rnacentral:rRNA from 1 species
UACAGAGGUCUCAAGCGUUGUUCGGAUUCAUUGGGCGUAAAGGGUGCGUAGGCGGCGCGGUAGGUCUGCUGUGAAAACUCGAGGCUCAACCUCGAGACGUCGGCGGAAACCAUCUGGCUAGAGUCCGGAAGAGGAGAGUGGAAUUCCUGGUGUAGCGGUGAAAUGCGCAGAUAUCAGGAAGAACACCCGUGGCGAAGGCGGCUCUCUGGGACGGUACUGACGCUGAGACGCGAAAGCGUGGGGAGCGAACAGG